CGGAAGAAAGGGAAAUAAAGAAAGAAAGGGAAAAUAAGGAAAACAGGGGGAAGGAAGGGGAAAUAAGGAAAGAAAGGGAAAUAAGGAAGACAUGGGGAAGCUCGAGAAGUGGGGAACUGAUAAAGGAAGAAAAGGAAAGGAAGUGAAGAGAGAGAGAAGCGUAGAGGGAGAAGAGGAAGAAGCCGCCGCCACUGCGGUUCGCGUUCACGUCGCCGUCGUAGCGCCUCCAUCCUUGCGCCAGUCGUUGCCGCUGUCGGUGAUGAAGCCCGUCGUCGCCACUUGCGCCUCUACCGCCGUCAGAACUGCACGCCGCCGCUGGAAGCAUCUUCAUCGUCGCCGUUGAUGGAGGUCCGUGAACAGUGGGAAGAUGCACGAGGAAGGAGAAGCCUUCGCCGUUGCCGCUCCGUCUCAACCUGGUUGUCGCUGUCAAGCCACGCCCGUGCCACCGUCACUGAGAUGCCGUUGUUGUUGCCUCCAUUUCCGCCGCAGAUGCCGCCGGCGCCGCUAUAAGCUGCUCCUGCCAAUUGGUUCUGAUUCAGUGGGAAUCCCUUGUGCCAGAUCUGUCCUAAGUGGUUCCGAGUUCACGUUGGUUCUGCUCUUGCCGGUGAGGGCCGCCGGAGCUGCGACUGCGAUUGCACUGAUUUUGGUUCCUUGUUAUGUAGAUUGAGCUACAAUUCUGGGAUGAUGUGUUUAGAAGUUGUAGCUGUCGCGGGGAUAGUCGAUUUUGAUGCCAUUGCUGCGAAAUAAGAAUAGAAACGGAAUUUUGUCACGUAGUUGAGCCUUGAAUUGAGGAACCAGAUGAAGAGGCAUUAAGAGUUAUACUGAGUUUGGUUUAUAUGCUGCUGUGUUAAUUAGAUUAUUUUCUUCCCUCGUCUUUGUUAUUACAAAUUUGUAAGAGGGAUAGGAAUUGUAUGUUCUAUAUGUAUACUAUAUUAUGGGAUAAUAUGUAAGGAGUCUUGUAUAUGAAUCUAUG